rnacentral:rRNA from 1 species
GACGAACGCUGGCGGCGUGCUUAACACAUGCAAGUCGAACGGAAAGGCCCUGCUUUUGUGGGGUGCUCGAGUGGCGAACGGGUGAGUAACACGUGAGUAACCUGCCCUUGACUUUGGGAUAACUUCAGGAAACUGGGGCUAAUACCGGAUAGGAGCUCCUGCUGCAUGGUGGGGGUUGGAAAGUUUCGGCGGUUGGGGAUGGACUCGCGGCUUAUCAGCUUGUUGGUGGGGUAGUGGCUUACCAAGGCUUUGACGGGUAGCCGGCCUGAGAGGGUGACCGGCCACAUUGGGACUGAGAUACGGCCCAGACUCCUACGGGAGGCAGCAGUGGGGAGUAUUGCACAAUGGGCGGAAGCCGGAGGCAGCAACGCCGCGUGCGGGAUGACGGCCUUCGGGUUGUAAACCGCUUUCGCCUGUGACGAAGCGUGAGUGACGGUAAUGGGUAAAGAAGCACCGGCUAACUACGUG